UACGUAGGGGGCUAGCGUUGUCCGGAAUCAUUGGGCGUAAAGCGCGUGUAGGCGGCCCGGUAAGUCCGCUGUGAAAGUCGGGGGCUCAACCCUCGGAUGCCGGUGGAUACUGUCGGGCUAGAGUACGGAAGAGGCGAGUGGAAUUCCUGGUGUAGCGGUGAAAUGCGCAGAUAUCAGGAGGAACACCGGUGGCGAAGGCGGUGGUCUGGGCCGGCACUGACGCUGAGACGCGAAAGCGUGGGGAGCAAACAGG
rnacentral:rRNA from 1 species